UAACACGUGGGCAACCUGCGCUGUAAGAGCUGGGAUCAACUUCGGGAAACCGAAGCUAAUACCGAGAUAGGAUCUUCUCCUUCAUGGGAGAUGUAUUGAAAGAUGGUUGUCGGUCUAUCUACUUACAGAUGGGCCCGCGGUGCAUUAGCUAGUUGGUGAGGUAACGGCUCACCAAGGCAACGAUGCAUAGCCGACCUGAGAGGGUGAUCGGCCACACUGGGACUGAGACACGGCCCAGACUCCUACGGGAGGCAGCAGUAGGGAAUCUUCCGCAAUGGACGAAAGUCUGACGGAGCAACGCCGCGUGAGUGAUGAAGGCUUUCGGGUCGUAAAACUCUGUUGUUAGGGAAGAACAAGUACAAGAGUAACUGCUCGUACCUUGACGGUACCUAACCAGAAAGCCACGGCUAACUACGUGCCAGCAGCCGCGGUAAUACGUAGGUGGCAAGCGUUAUCCGGAAUUAUUGGGCGUAAAGCGCGCGCAGGCGGUUUCUUAAGUCUGAUGUGAAAGCCCACGGCUCAACCGUGGAGGGUCAUUGGAAACUGGGGAACUUGAGUGCAGAAGAGAAAAGCGGAAUUCCACGUGUAGCGGUGAAAUGCGUAGAGAUGUGGAGGAACACCAGUGGCGAAGGCGGCUUUUU
rnacentral:rRNA from 1 species